rnacentral:rRNA from 1 species
CCCUUAGAUGUCCUGGGCCGCACGCGCGCUACACUGAGUGUCUGAGAUACGAGUCUGCCUGGUCCGGCAAGGUCUAGGUAAUCGCUAAAAGACACAUCAUGCUUGGGAUAGAUUAUUGCAAAUAUUAAUCUUGAACGAGGAAUUCCUAGUAAGCGCAAGUCGACAGCUUGCGUUUAUUACGUCCCUGCCCCUUGUACACACCGCCCGUCGCUGCCCGGAACUGAGCCGUUUCGAGAAAGCUGGGGACUGACGGCUUGUGGGUGCGCAAGCACUUCUUGCCGACGGAAACCAGUUUAAUCGGUAUGGCUUGAACCGGGCAAAAGUCGUAACA